rnacentral:rRNA from 1 species
UGGGGAAUCUUGGACAAUGGGGGCAACCCUGAUCCAGCCAUGCCGCGUGAGUGAUGAAGGCCUUAGGGUCGUAAAGCUCUUUCGCCUGUGAAGAUAAUGACGGUAGCAGGUAAAGAAACCCCGGCUAACUCCGUGCCAGCAGCCGCGGUAAUACGGAGGGGACUAGCGUUGUUCGGAAUUACUGGGCGUAAAGCGCACGUAGGCGGACCAGAAAGUUGGGGGUGAAAUCCCGGGGGCUCAACCCCGGAACUGCCUCCAAAACUAUUGGUCUAGAGUUCGAGAGAGGUGAGUGGAAUUCCAAGUGUAGAGGUGAAAUUCGUAGAUAUUUGGAGGAACACCAGUGGCGAAGGCGGCUCACUGGCUCGAUACUGACGCUGAGGUGCGAAAGUGUGGGGAGCAAACAGGAUUAGAUACCCUGGUAGUCCACACCGUAAAACGAUGGAAUGCCAGUCGUCGGGUAGCAUGCUAUUCGGUGACACACCUAACGGAUUAAGCAUUCC